AGAUCACUAGCAUUGUUUCUGGAAUUUUCUGAAGGUCUGUCUGAACUGGACCUCAGCCACUGCCAGCUCACUGAUCACAGCCUAGAGCUGCUGUUCCCACACCUGCAUAAAGCAGCUGUCCUGGACCUGAGUCACAAUGACAUAGGUGACGGUUUAGCUGGAAGAAUCUACACGGUCGUUUCUACUAACAGGAACAUACAGACAGUUCGACUCCACAACAACAGAAUUACUGAUAUCGAGCCUUUCCGAAAAGACAAGCGCUUCGAGAUCUGGCGAUGACUGUGGAUGAGUGUCCUGUUUUCACACCUCUCCCUAAACAGUAUAACGAGGAAAGAAUGAAACAAAUAAUCCUCAUUAUUCUCCUAUUAGUUUUUUAUAACAUUUAUUUUUUGGUUCUGUUGGAACUUUUGUCUGUUCAAUUAUUUUGAAAUUUCAUGUCUUGUUAACGUGGUAUGUAACAAUUUCUAUUUUAUUUUCAGUGUUUUUUUGAAGGGGUCAGAAGGAAAGAAAAAGUGUGUGUGGUUUCUUUUUUUCUGAAUAUUAAUGAUAUUUUGACUUCACAAUACACAUGUUUACCUCGAUAUCUUACUUCAACAUCUUUCUUAAUCUAAUGUUUUAAAAUAUACAUGUUGAUAAUUAUACAGUCAGUUCAUUAGAAAGAAAUGAAU